rnacentral:rRNA from 1 species
AAUGAACGUUGGCGGCGUGGAUUAGGCAUGCAAGUCGUACGAGAAUCGUAGCAAUACGAGGAAAGCGGCGGAAGGGAGAGGAUUACGUGGGAAUCUACCCUCAGAACUGGGAUAGCGGCGGGAAACUGCCGGUAAUACCAGAUAAUGUCUGUGGACCAAAGGUGUGAUUCCGUCUGGGGAUGAGCCCACGUCCUAUUAGCUAGUUGGCAGGGUAAUGGCCUACCAAGGCAAUGAUGGGUAGCGGGUGUGAGAGCAUGACCCGCCUCACUGGGACUGAGAACUGCCCAGACACCUACGGGUGGCUGCAGUCGAGAAUCUUCGGCAAUGAGCGCAAGCUUGACCGAGCGACGCCGCGUGCGGGAUGAAGGCCUUCGGGUUGUAAACCGCUGUCGUAGGGGAGCAAGAGAUGAGGGUACUCCCUCUGAUUUGAGCGAUCCUAGGAGGAAGGACGGGCUAAGUUCGUGCCAGCAGCCGCGGUAAAAC